ensembl:lncRNA
CUAACGGCAGUGACCCUCCAGAGGGUGUUAGGAAGCAGAGGCCCAGCCGCCCUCCCCGCCUGCCCCGCACCUGGGAGCCGCCUCCCGGGACCAGGCUCAGGGCCUGGCGAGCGCUGUCACCUGGGAGGCCUCUGGGGGAGGCGGAGGAGGGGUCCAGAGGGCCUGGACGGUACCUUGUUAACGGUCGGGGUUCUGGGCCUUGGACGGGGGAGUCCCUCGUGAGCCCCGCUGGCUUUAGAAACAAGCGGAAUGAGGUUUCUGCAGAAAACAGCUCCGGUCCCUCGGGCCGCGCAGCGCCCGCCCGGUCGCGGCAGUUGUGGCGGUUGGUCCAGCGGGUCAGGGCCUCCUGACGUUGGCCCCGCCCCUCGGCCCCGCCCACAGCGCAUAAAAGAGCGGGCCGGGCGGUGCGGUCCUGGCGUCAAGCACCGUGACGUAGACGUUAACCGCACCUUCAGGAAUAACCUCUUCUGGGAGCGGUACGGAAUCAAGUGGGCCCCCAGGUUCCUGGCGGGGAGGCCCUGGACCUGGGUUGGAGCUGGGGUGGCAGGUUGUCGACCGUCGCCCGUCCUGGCAGUACCGGCUGAACCUCGAGGGGGCGCGAGUACACACGUUAGGAGCCGGGGCAGAGGUGGAGGGCUCGCGGCGGGUGGCGGUUGGGGCGGGGAGAGUGGGGCGGGGCACCCGCGGGAGGGGAGGGGCUCCAGGCGGCAGAGACCUGGCUGGACAGGAGUUCAGAUCGAUUGAAUUCGGGUUAGAGCGGUCAAAUGACGCCCCUCUCGAUGGUGUUGCUUACAUAUUUCUACUUCUACAGUUUCUAUCAUUUGUAAAAACAGAUUGGUGAACCCCAAAUUCCAUCACUUAGGGACCCAGUCCCAUCCCAUCUCCUGCGUUCACCACAUCCUUGACCAGCACAUGCCUUUCACAGAGGACCCGAGACCUCUGGCCUCACCCCAUCGCUAGGCUCUCAGUAUGCUUGUUUUUGGCCAUGCAUGUGGCUUGUGGGCGCUUAGUGCCCUGACCAAGGAGCAAACCCAUGCCCCCUGAGGUGGAAGAACAGACUCAUAAUCCCUGGUCAGCCAGGGAACCCCCCAACCCACCGCUGCUAGUAUGCAUUUUAAAAACAAGAAUUCUUGGGAAUUCCCUAGCAAUUCAGUGGUUAGACUCCACACUCUAAUUGCAGAGGGCCCAGGUUGCAUCCCUGUCAGGGAACUAAGAUCUCACAAACCAAGCAGUGGGGCAAAAAGAAAAAAAGAAGCGGGAUUCUUUUUUUACACGUGACCUCGAGCCUGUUGCAACACUGGAAGCAUGUACUGUAAUCCCCUAAUACGCACCCAGAGAUCACAUCUCCCAACACUGCAUGCUUUCUGAACAAGCUGUUCCAACCCAGGAGGUGGGCUACUUCUAGGACAUGAACAAGUUUGCAGCCGUCCUACUGAUGUUCCUGAAUUAAGAGGAUGCCUUCUGGAGGCUGGUGCAGCUGAUGACUGACGACAAGCACACCAUGGGCGGCUUCAUCCCUGGAUUCCUGACAUUGCUAAGAUUCCAGGCCCAUCACAGGCACAUUCUCGGCAGAGCCCUCCCCAAGUUGAAGGGACAUGUGUCCCUGCCUGGGCCACCCCCAGGGCCACACGACAGGCCUGACUCCGUGACCCCGCCGAGGCCCCGGCAACCAGCUCCACCCAGUCUGCUGAAGACGGCGCCACUGGGCCCAGGACACCCCUCCUGCCCUGAGGCAGCUGAAGCCAGCAUCCCUCCCAUGAGUGACCAGCACCAGCACAGCCAUGAUGGAGCCAGGACAGCACCCCAAGAGCUGCGUCAAGACCCCACACAACCGCAUGACCCCCUGAGCUCUGUGUCCAUAGGGAGCCUGGACGUUCAGGGGCCUCCAGAGGAUGAGGUGACUGUGAGCACAGGGACCCCGAGGCUCCCGGGGACCCCGAGGUCCCCAGAAGCCAGCAGCAUGCCCUGCUUUUUCACGCUGAGCUUCUUGGAGGAUGGACCCUACCCCUACCCCCAUAUAGCACAAGUCCCUGACUCCAAAGGGCCUGAAUUUGGGCUCCAGGAGAGCAGAGGCUGUGUGAGCACCCCCCAGCCUGGACUGUGACUAAAGGGGCUGCCCCGGCCAGUCAGGAACGCUGGCUCAAGGCAAGGCGAGCCCUCUCGGAGCUGUAUGUGGUCUCCUACAGCCUGAGCAUGCCCCACAAGGUCCCUUUGGUGACCUGAGGAGCCUCUGGGAGCAACAGGCCACCUCCACCCUCACACGCAUAAGGAGGCGGGGCUAGAGCAGAGGGUGCCGCUGUUUGGGCAGACGCAACACACUGUGUCCAAGUCAGUGACUGCCUUUUGGGGCCCCUAAAUCUCAGCAAAUACAGCCCCACCUGGGGUCCAACGGGGUUCCCUGCCCCCCCAGCCAUUCGCUAUGAAGGUCUCCCUCCAGGGGACGGGCAGACUUUGGUUUCAGUUUCCCCCCUUGCUGGUUAAAGGUUAAUACAUUUUCGUGCAU